rnacentral:rRNA from 1 species
UGAAGAGUUUGAUCCUGGCUCAGAUUGAACGCUGGCGGCAUGCCUUACACAUGCAAGUCGAACGGCAGCACGGGUGCUUGCACCUGGUGGCGAGUGGCGAACGGGUGAGUAAUACAUCGGAACAUGUCCUGUAGUGGGGGAUAGCCCGGCGAAAGCCGGAUUAAUACCGCAUACGAUCUACGGAUGAAAGCGGGGGACCUUCGGGCCUCGCGCUAUAGGGUUGGCCGAUGGCUGAUUAGCUAGUUGGUGGGGUAAAGGCCUACCAAGGCGACGAUCAGUAGCUGGUCUGAGAGGACGACCAGCCACACUGGGACUGAGACACGGCCCAGACUCCUACGGGAGGCAGCAGUGGGGAAUUUUGGACAAUGGGCGAAAGCCUGAUCCAGCAAUGCCGCGUGUGUGAAGAAGGCCUUCGGGUUGUAAAGCACUUUUGUCCGGAAAGAAAUCCUUGGCUCUAAUACAGUCGGGGGAUGACGGUACCGGAAGAAUAAGCACCGGCUAACUACGUGCCAGCAGCCGCGGUAAUACGUAGGGUGCGAGCGUUAAUCGGAAUUACUGGGCGUAAAGCGUGCGCAGGCGGUUUGCUAAGACCGAUGUGAAAUCCCCGGGCUCAACCUGGGAACUGCAUUGGUGACUGGCAGGCUAGAGUAUGGCAGAGGGGGGUAGAAUUCCACGUGUAGCAGUGAAAUGCGUAGAGAUGUGGAGGAAUACCGAUGGCGAAGGCAGCCCCCUGGGCCAAUACUGACGCUCAUGCACGAAAGCGUGGGGAGCAAACAGGAUUAGAUACCCUGGUAGUCCACGCCCUAAACGAUGUCAACUAGUUGUUGGGGAUUCAUUUCCUUAGUAACGUAGCUAACGCGUGAAGUUGACCGCCUGGGGAGUACGGUCGCAAGAUUAAAACUCAAAGGAAUUGACGGGGACCCGCACAAGCGGUGGAUGAUGUGGAUUAAUUCGAUGCAACGCGAAAAACCUUACCUACCCUUGACAUGGUCGGAAUCCCGCUGAGAGGUGGGAGUGCUCGAAAGAGAACCGGCGCACAGGUGCUGCAUGGCUGUCGUCAGCUCGUGUCGUGAGAUGUUGGGUUAAGUCCCGCAACGAGCGCAACCCUUGUCCUUAGUUGCUACGCAAGAGCACUCUAAGGAGACUGCCGGUGACAAACCGGAGGAAGGUGGGGAUGACGUCAAGUCCUCAUGGCCCUUAUGGGUAGGGCUUCACACGUCAUACAAUGGUCGGAACAGAGGGUUGCCAACCCGCGAGGGGGAGCUAAUCCCAGAAAACCGAUCGUAGUCCGGAU